AUAAAUUCUACACCGACAGAGCGGGUAACUUUUUACUCACCCUCGUAAGACACUUAAAUUUCCAAUCUAUUAUGAUGAAUAAAAGAGCUUAUACUAUUAAAUCUAAUUGUAUUUUGUUGCAUGAGAGUACACGUGUAUGUGAUGUACAUUACCUUUAUAUCCCCUUGAACGCUUCAAUAUUGCGCAUAUAUACUAUAUUUUGUACAGCUUCUAUAAAAUUUCGUAUGUUUGUUUAGGCUGUUAAUCUAGAGGCUGGAGUACAAAGAAGUGGCACAAUGAUGUGGGCUGAUGACAUUUAUAAUUAUCAAGGAAUCACCCCUACAUUCGCUCAGAAUUUUAAUGAAACUGUCCCUUGGGAAGGAAGAACUGAUACCUUGAUAUCACGGUUUGUACAUCCUAUAUAUACGACAAAUUUUAGAACAUUAUAUAACGAAGAACCAGAUCGUCGUGGCCAUGUGAUGUGAAUAAAAGGACUUGAAUUUGAUGAUAUUUUUAUAAUGUUAGAUAACAUAACUAAGUAUCUUCACAGUAAGAUAGGAUGACAUGGUUUACAUGAUCUUAAUGUUGUUCACUCGAGUGAUGAUAUUAUAAGGAAAAGUGUAAUAUCACAGGAUAUUUAUGUUUAGUAACCAGUAAUUCAGAGAUUGGUAUUCAUGGUUACUAUAACGAGGCUGUAGAAACGCACCCUUUCUUCUUUGCAAAUGGUCCUGUAUUUAUGUCUAAACCGAAACUGGAACCUCUGAAUAAUUUAGAUUUAUUCUUGUUAUUUUCUAAAAUACUUAUCUACAGUAUACCAUAAGGAAUGAUACCGUAUCGCACCUAAUCAAGUGCCUUAAGAAACAUCAACAGGAUAUCACAGUAAUCCCUUAUCGAC